CGUCUGGGUCUUGCGCAACAGAAAUUCGUGAACCGUGUCUGGUCAGGAAUGGAGCAGCACUAAGCGAAAGCUUCUGUGUGCCGUAAGGUCACCUGGACUGAGUCAACUGUAAAGGUAACGCUUGUGGUAGGCAUUCGAAGCAGAAUGCACGG
rnacentral:SRP_RNA from 1 species